rnacentral:rRNA from 1 species
ACCUUGCACAGGUGCUGCAUGGCUGUCGUCAGCUCGUGUCGUGAGAUGUUCGGUUAAGUCCGCUAACGAGCGCAACCCUCGCUGUGUGUUACAAGUGUCACACGGAACUGCCGGUCAUAAACCGGAGGAAGGUGGGGAUGACGUCAAGUCAGCAUGGCCUUUAUAUCCUGGGCUACACACACGCUACAAUGGGAAGGGACAAUAGGUUGCGAAGCCGCGAGGCGGAGCCAAUCCAGCAAAACUUCCCUCAGUUCAGAUUGCAGGCUGCAACCCGCCUGCAUGAAGUUGGAGUUGCUAGUAAACGCAGGUCAGCCAUACUGCGUUGAAUACGUUCCCGGGGCUU